rnacentral:lncRNA from 1 species
UCUGUUUAUUUGCAACCGAAUACAAGGCUACUAGCUAGAUAUAAUGAAGACAAUUCUUCUAGUUGACUAAGGAAAAUAAAAUAUUUAUUUCUUUCGAGUAAUAUAAAAUGUACUGAGGUACAUUUUCCAAUGUCGUGCGUUUCAUCGUUUAUUAAUUAAUGUUCCUCCUUAUGAUAUAACCCUAUAUUUUUAAUUCUGCAAUUUAUACAUUACAAAAGAAAUCAUACUAUGAGAUUUGAAAGUAAUGAUCUCAAAUUCUUAAAUUAUUAUGCUGAGCAGUAAAUAUAGGAAAUCACAACUGUAUGUGAGAAACUGGAUGUGUGAUCUUUUAAUAAAAAGACUUAAUUAUUGACCCCAGAAGUAUUUAUUUUACACAAUUUUCAAUCCAUCUAAGGGACCGGUCAUUAUUUAUGGCAGGGGUGGGGGCCGAAGAGAAAAUGGUGGGGUAACUGAAAAAUAAUACUUGCUUUAGGUGGGGUGGCCAAAAAAUCCUUGCAUGCAGAGGUGGGGUAAAAAAAAUAACCUUACUUUAAUCACACACAAUACAAUAUAUACUACUAUCAGAGUUUAAUAUGUGAUUAUUCUAAUUUUUUAAUAAAAUAUUAUUGCUUUCCAAAAUGUUGACAGAAACACCCCCCUCAACCCACCUGUAAAGGGUCAUUUUUAUAUUCAUUUACACACAAAAUCUCCAAAGACUCCAAUGACCAGACAAAAUAUAUAUUGCCUAUAUAUAGGAGCUGUUUAAAUGGUGCAACUGCAAGCCAACCCCAGGGUACCCAAGCUUGCCCAGUUUUGGCAAGAUCCUGCCUUUGUUGUUAUUUCUUACUAUUAAAAGUUCACCUUGUGUAUAUAUGGGUAAAGAGCGGGCCCAGCUAUAGCUAAGUGAGAUCCCGCCCCUUUAGCCCGAGAUCUUGCCUCAGGAAAAGUGACCUUAAGUCUGUAGCCCCUAACCCCGGGCAUCCAGCCUCGCCCCCAUAUAAACAUCCCCUUAUUACAUAUCUCAAAAAGUAUAUGUACAGUCUAUUAAAUUUUCAGGAUUUAAUUUUUGGGCAUCUACAUUUGAUACUGUAUAACUAAUAUUUAUAUCCAGUAUGUGCUUGUAAACCAUGUGGACAAUUCAGGUAGCAAAUCAUGAAAUAUGCCCCAUGCCCCUUGUGAAUCGAUCUGGAGAAUCAUUCCAAUGGCUAGAUCAUAAUAUGUUCAGCUCAAACAUUGUUCUGAGUCUUUGGCAACUGCCUGUUUUUCUUUACUAGCAGACCAUGUAUACAUGAAUAAAAUAUUAAAAUAAGGGAAAUCUAUUUACCCGUUUCACAAAUUAAUUUAAUUGUUUAUAUAAUCAUACUUGGAAUUCGGAUGAAUAUCUUUAUCUUCACACUGUAUAACAGCAACUCUUUCUCAUUAAUUUACAGUAACAUCAUUUUCUAAAUUCAGAUAUUCUCACAUGGGACAUAUACUUUAUUAUUAUACAUUUAAUAUGUAUUCUCGUUUCUAAUUGGUCAGAAAGCACCAGCUAAUUUUCAGUAUUCGGCAUUUAUUACGUAUUUUCCGCCGAUGACGUCAUCAGCGUCCAAUAAUUGUUUUUUUGGAUCGAACUUGCAUCCAAAAAAAAAAUUAUUGGACUCUCUCGUGCCCAAACCCUUGCGCGGCCAAAGGCUUGAACCUAUAAGCGCGGGAAAAAAAACAAACAAACAAUGGCCUACAGCAGAUUUGCUUCGCUGAAUGAAAGUGAACUCUCCAAAUUAUUGGCAGAUAAGGAUAGUGAAAGCACGAAAAAAGCCACAAAGGGGUAAAUAGAAGUAGAAAUAGAAUA